rnacentral:rRNA from 1 species
UACGAAGGGUGCAAGCGUUACUCGGAAUUACUGGGCGUAAAGCGUGCGUAGGUGGUUUGUUAAGUCUGAUGUGAAAGCCCUGGGCUCAACCUGGGAAUUGCAUUGGAUACUGGCAGGCUAGAGUGCGGUAGAGGAUGGCGGAAUUCCCGGUGUAGCAGUGAAAUGCGUAGAGAUCGGGAGGAACAUCCAUGGCGAAGGCAGCUACCUGGACCAACACUGACACUGAGGCACGAAAGCGUGGGGAGCAAACAGG